UACCCGCAGCACAAGUGGUGGUCAUUAUUAUUGGGCCUAAAGCGUCCGUAGCUGGCGUGUUAGAUGCCUGGGUAAAUCGAUGCGCUCAACGCAUCGAAUUCCGGGUAGACCGGCACGCUCGAGACCGGGAGAGGUGUAGGGUACUCGGGGGUAGGGGUAAAAUCCUGUAAUCCUCCGGGGACGACCAGUGGCGAAGGCGCUACACUAGAACGGCUCUGACAGUGAGGGACGAAGCCCUGGGGCGCAAACCGG
rnacentral:rRNA from 1 species